UACGUAGGGGGCAAGCGUUGUCCGGAAUUAUUGGGCGUAAAGCGCGCGCAGGCGGUCAUUUAAGUCUGGUGUUUAAGCCCGGGGCUCAACCCCGGUUCGCAUCGGAAACUGGAUGACUUGAGUGUAGGAGAGGAAAGUGGAAUUCCACGUGUAGCGGUGAAAUGCGUAGAUAUCUGGAGGAAUACCGGUGGCGAAGGCGGCAUCCUGGACCGAGAUUGACACUGAUGAGCGAAAGCUAGGGGAGCAAACGGG
rnacentral:rRNA from 1 species